rnacentral:rRNA from 1 species
GAUGAACGCUGGCGGCGUGCCUAAUACAUGCAAGUCGAGCGAACAGACGAGGAUCUUGCUCCUCUGACGUUAGCGGCGGACGGGUGAGUAACACGUGUAUAACCUACCUAUAAUACUGGGAUAACUUCGGGAAACCGGAGCUAAUACCGUAUAAUAUAUUGAACCGCAUGGUUCAAUAGUGAAAGACGGUGUUUCUUUCACGUAUCGAUGGAUCCGCGCCGCAUUAGCUAGUUGUUAAGGUAACGGCUUACCAAGGCAACGAUGCGUAGCCGACGUGAGAGAGUGAUAGGCCACAUUGGAAGUGAGCCACGGUCAAGACUCCUACGGGAGGCAGCAGUAGGGAAUCUUCCGCAGUGGGCGAAAGCAUGACGGAGCGACGCCGAGUGAGUGAUGACGGUCUUCGGAUCGUAAAAAUCUGUUAUUAGGGGAAAACCAAUGUGUAAGUAACUAUGCACGUCUUGACGGUAACUAAUAAGAAAGCAACGGCUAACUACGUG